rnacentral:rRNA from 1 species
UCGAGAAUCUUCGGCAAUGAGCGCAAGCUUGACCGAGCGAUGCCGCGUGCGGGAUGAAGGCCCUCGGGUUGUAAACCGCUGUCGUAGAGGAGUAAUGGUCGGUGGGUUCUCCCAUCGAUUUGAACAAUUCUAGGAGGAAGGACGGGCUAAGUUCGUGCCAGCAGCCGCGGUAAGACGAACCGUCCAAACGUUAUUCGGAAUCACUGGGCUUACAGAGUUCGUAGGCGGUCUGGAAAGUUGGGUGUGAAAUCCCUCGGCUCAACCGAGGAACUGCGCUCAAAACUGCCAGACUCGAGGGAGAUAGAGGAAAGCGGAACUGAUGGUGGAGCGGUGAAAUGCGUUGAUAUCAUCAGGAACACCGGUGGCGAAGGCGGCUUUCUGGGUCUUACCUGACGCUGAGGAACGAAAGCUAGGGGAGCGAACG